rnacentral:rRNA from 1 species
UACAGAGGGGGCAAGCGUUGUUCGGAAUUACUGGGCGUAAAGGGCUCGUAGGCGGCCAACUAAGUCAUACGUGAAAUCCCUCAGCUUAACUGGGGAACUGCGUGUGAUACUGGAUGGCUUGGAUUUGGGAGAGGGAUGCGGAAUUCCAGGUGUAGCGGUGAAAUGCGUAGAUAUCUGGAGGAACACCGGUGGCGAAGGCGGCGACCUGGUCCGAUACUGACGCUGAGGCGCGAAAGCGUGGGGAGCAAACAGG